GAUGAGGUGGUGAAAGCCACUUCUAGGGGCUGCAUCACCAUCAUAGGUGGUGGAGACACUGCCACUUGCUGUGCCAAAUGGAACACGGAGGAUAAAGUAAAGUCCUUCCUGGGGUGGAUGCUCUCAGCAAUAUUUAGUACUUUCCUGCCUUUUAGUUCCUGUGCACAGCCCCUAAGUCAACUUAGCAUUUUCUGCAUCUCCACUUGGCAUUAGCUAAAACCUUCCAUGUCAAGAUUCAGCUAGUGGCCAAGAGAUGCAGUGCCAGGAACCCUUAAACAGUUGCACAGCAUCUCAGCUCAUCUUCACUGCACCCUGGAUUUGCAUACAUUCUUCAAGAUCCCAUUUGAAUUUUUUAGUGACUAAACCAUUGUGCAUUCUAGAGUGCAUAUAUUUAUAUUUUGCCUGUUAAAAAGAAAGUGAGCAGUGUUAGCUUAGUUCUCUUUUGAUGUAGGUUAUUAUGAUUAGCUUUGUCACUGUUUCACUACUCAGCAUGGAAACAAGAUGAAAUUCCAUUUGUAGGUAGUGAGACAAAAUUGAUGAUCCAUUAAGUAAACAAUAAAAGUGUCCAUUGAAACCGU
rnacentral:lncRNA from 1 species